rfam:Candidatus Yonathbacteria bacterium RIFCSPLOWO2_01_FTLL_47_33b rifcsplowo2_01_scaffold_20930, whole genome shotgun sequence.
UUUUCAAAGAGUUUGAUCCUAGCUCAGGAUGAACGCUGGCGGCGUGGAUAAGGCAUGCAAGUCGAACGGCCCGCAAGGGCAGUGGCGAACGAGGUAGUAACACGUAGGUACAAACCCCAAAGUCAGGAAUAACCCACCGAAAGGUGGGCUAAUACUUGAUAGUCUCUUCGGAGUAAAGAUUUAUCGCUUUGGGAUUGGCCUGCGCAGUAUCAGCUAGUUGGUAGGGUAAAAGCCUACCAAGGCAAUGACGCUUAGGGGAGGUGAGAGCCUGACCCCCACCGAUGGUACUGAGACACGGACCAUACACCUACGGGUGGCUGCA